GGAGGGGUACCCAAGUUCGGCUGAAGGGAUCGGUCUCGAAAACCGACAGGGGUUUAAUAAGACCCGCGGGGGUUCAAAUCCCCCCUCCUCCG
rnacentral:tRNA from 1 species